GGGUUGUGAGGUUAAGCGACUAAGCGUACACGGUGGAUGCCCUGGCAGUCAGAGGCGAUGAAGGACGUGCUAAUCUGCGAUAAGCGCCGGUAAGGUGAUAUGAACCGUUAUAACCGGCGAUUUCCGAAUGGGGAAACCCAGUGUGACUCGUCACACUAUCAUUAACUGAAUCCAUAGGUUAAUGAGGCGAACCGGGGGAACUGAAACAUCUAAGUACCCCGAGGAAAAGAAAUCAACCGAGAUUCCCCCAGUAGCGGCGAGCGAACGGGGAGGAGCCCAGAGCCUGAAUCAGCAUGUGUGUUAGUGGAAGCGUCUGGAAAGGCGCGCGAUACAGGGUGACAGCCCCGUACACAAAAGCGCAUGUGCUGUGAGCUCGAUGAGUAGGGCGGGACACGUGGUAUCCUGUCUGAAUAUGGGGGGACCAUCCUCCAAGGCUAAAUACUCCUGACUGACCGAUAGUGAACCAGUACCGUGAGGGAAAGGCGAAAAGAACCCCGGCGAGGGGAGUGAAAAAGAACCUGAAACCGUGUACGUACAAGCAGUGGGAGCACCCUUUAGGGUGUGACUGCGUACCUUUUGUAUAAUGGGUCAGCGACUUAUAUUCUGUAGCAAGGUUAACCGUAUAGGGGAGCCGGAGGGAAACCGAGUCUUAACCGGGCGUUAAGUUGCAGGGUAUAGACCCGAAACCCGGUGAUCUAGCCAUGGGCAGGUUGAAGGUUGGGUAACACUAACUGGAGGACCGAACCGACUAAUGUUGAAAAAUUAGCGGAUGACCUGUGGCUGGGGGUGAAAGGCCAAUCAAACCGGGAGAUAGCUGGUUCUCCCCGAAAGCUAUUUAGGUAGCGCCUCGUGAAUUCAUCUCCGGGGGUAGAGCACUGUUUCGGCUAGGGGGCCAUCCCGGCUUACCAACCCGAUGCAAACUGCGAAUACCGGAGAAUGUUAUCACGGGAGACACACGGCGGGUGCUAACGUCCGUCGUGAAGAGGGAAACAACCCAGACCGCCAGCUAAGGUCCCAAAGUCAUGGUUAAGUGGGAAACGAUGUGGGAAGGCCCAGACAGCCAGGAUGUUGGCUUAGAAGCAGCCAUCAUUUAAAGAAAGCGUAAUAGCUCACUGGUCGAGUCGGCCUGCGCGGAAGAUGUAACGGGGCUAAACCAUGCACCGAAGCUGCGGCAGCGACGCUUAUGCGUUGUUGGGUAGGGGAGCGUUCUGUAAGCCUGUGAAGGUGGCCUGUGAGGGUUGCUGGAGGUAUCAGAAGUGCGAAUGCUGACAUAAGUAACGAUAAAGCGGGUGAAAAGCCCGCUCGCCGGAAGACCAAGGGUUCCUGUCCAACGUUAAUCGGGGCAGGGUGAGUCGACCCCUAAGGCGAGGCCGAAAGGCGUAGUCGAUGGGAAACGGGUUAAUAUUCCCGUACUUGGUGUUACUGCGAAGGGGGGACGGAGAAGGCUAUGUUGGCCGGGCGACGGUUGUCCCGGUUUAAGCGUGUAGGUGUGUGUUCCAGGUAAAUCCGGUUCACUUUAACACUGAGGCGUGACGACGAGGCACUACGGUGCUGAAGCAACAAAUGCCCUGCUUCCAGGAAAAGCCUCUAAGCAUCAGGUAACAUCAAAUCGUACCCCAAACCGACACAGGUGGUCAGGUAGAGAAUACCAAGGCGCUUGAGAGAACUCGGGUGAAGGAACUAGGCAAAAUGGUGCCGUAACUUCGGGAGAAGGCACGCUGACACGUAGGUGAAGUGAUUUACUCAUGGAGCUGAAGUCAGUCGAAGAUACCAGCUGGCUGCAACUGUUUAUUAAAAACACAGCACUGUGCAAACACGAAAGUGGACGUAUACGGUGUGACGCCUGCCCGGUGCCGGAAGGUUAAUUGAUGGGGUCAGCGCAAGCGAAGCUCCUGAUCGAAGCCCCGGUAAACGGCGGCCGUAACUAUAACGGUCCUAAGGUAGCGAAAUUCCUUGUCGGGUAAGUUCCGACCUGCACGAAUGGCGUAAUGAUGGCCAGGCUGUCUCCACCCGAGACUCAGUGAAAUUGAACUCGCUGUGAAGAUGCAGUGUACCCGCGGCAAGACGGAAAGACCCCGUGAACCUUUACUAUAGCUUGACACUGAACAUUGAGCCUUGAUGUGUAGGAUAGGUGGGAGGCUUUGAAGUGUGGACGCCAGUCUGCAUGGAGCCGGCCUUGAAAUACCACCCUUUAAUGUUUGAUGUUCUAACGUGGACCCGUGAUCCGGGUUGCGGACAGUGUCUGGUGGGUAGUUUGACUGGGGCGGUCUCCUCCUAAAGAGUAACGGAGGAGCACGAAGGUUGGCUAAUCCUGGUCGGACAUCAGGAGGUUAGUGCAAUGGCAUAAGCCAGCUUGACUGCGAGCGUGACGGCGCGAGCAGGUGCGAAAGCAGGUCAUAGUGAUCCGGUGGUUCUGAAUGGAAGGGCCAUCGCUCAACGGAUAAAAGGUACUCCGGGGAUAACAGGCUGAUACCGCCCAAGAGUUCAUAUCGACGGCGGUGUUUGGCACCUCGAUGUCGGCUCAUCACAUCCUGGGGCUGAAGUAGGUCCCAAGGGUAUGGCUGUUCGCCAUUUAAAGUGGUACGCGAGCUGGGUUUAGAACGUCGUGAGACAGUUCGGUCCCUAUCUGCCGUGGGCGCUGGAGAACUGAGGGGGGCUGCUCCUAGUACGAGAGGACCGGAGUGGACGCAUCACUGGUGUUCGGGUUGUCAUGCCAAUGGCACUGCCCGGUAGCUAAAUGCGGAAGAGAUAAGUGCUGAAAGCAUCUAAGCACGAAACUUGCCCCGAGAUGAGUUCUCCCUGAGACUUAGAGUCUCCUGAAGGAACGUUGAAGACGACGACGUUGAUAGGCCGGGUGUGUAAGCGCAGCGAUGCGUUGAGCUAACCGGUACUAAUGAACCGUGAGGCUUAACCUUACAACGCCGAAG
rnacentral:rRNA from 1 species